rnacentral:tRNA from 1 species
GAGGGUAUAGUUCAGUGGUACAGCAUUCGACUGCAGAUCGAGAGGUCUCCGGUUCAAACCCGGAUGCUCCUUCUUCA